rnacentral:rRNA from 1 species
GACGAACGCUGGCGGCGUGCUUAACACAUGCAAGUCGAACGCUGAAGCCUAGCUUGCUGGGUGGAUGAGUGGCGAACGGGUGAGUAACACGUGAGUAACCUGCCCCCUUCUUUGGGAUAACGCCCGGAAACGGGUGCUAAUACUGGAUACUCACUGAUCUUCGCAUGGGGGUUGGUGGAAAGGUUUGUUCUGGUGGGGGAUGGGCUCGCGGCCUAUCAGCUUGUUGGUGGGGUGAUGGCCUACCAAGGCUUUGACGGGUAGCCGGCCUGAGAGGGUGACCGGUCACAUUGGGACUGAGAUACGGCCCAGACUCCUACGGGAGGCAGCAGUGGGGAAUAUUGCACAAUGGGCGCAAGCCUGAUGCAGCGACGCCGCGUGAGGGAUGGAGGCCUUCGGGUUGUAAACCUCUUUCGCUCAUGGUCAAGCCGCAACAGUGGUUGUGGUGAGGGUAGUGGGUAAAGAAGCGCCGGCUAACUACGUGCCAGCAGCCGCGGUAAUACGUAGGGCGCGAGCGUUGUCCGGAAUUAUUGGGCGUAAAGGGCUUGUAGGCGGUUGGUCGCGUCUGCCGUGAAAUCCUCUGGCUUAACUGGGGGCGUGCGGUGGGUACGGGCUGACUUGAGUGCGGUAGGGGAGACUGGAACUCCUGGUGUAGCGGUGGAAUGCGCAGAUAUCACGAAGAAACACCCGUGGCGAAAGCGGGUCUCUGGGCCGUUACUGACGCUGAGGAGCGAAAAGCGUGGGGGAGCGAACAAG